rnacentral:rRNA from 1 species
GACGAACGCUGGCGGCGUGCUUAACACAUGCAAGUCGAACGGAAAGGCCCGGCUUUUGUGGGGUGCUGGGGGGGCGAACGGGGGAGUAACACGUGAGUAACCUGCCCCUGACUGUGGGGUAACUUCAGGAAACUUGGGCUAAUACCGGAUAGGAGCUCCCGCUGCUUGGUGGGGGUUGGAAAGUUUCGGCUGUUGGGGAUGGACUCGCGGCGUAUCAGCUUGGUGGUGGGGUAGUGGCUUACCAAGGCUUUGACGGGUAGCCGGCCUGGGAGGGCGACCGGCCCCACUGGGACGGAGAUACGGCCCAGACUCCUACCGGAGGGAGCGGUGGAGAGUAGUGCACAAGGGGAGGAACCCUGAUGCAACAACGCCAUGUGCGGGAUGUGGUGCUUCGGGUUGUAAACCGCUUUCGCCUGAGACGAAGCGUGAGUGACGGUAAUGGGUAAAGAAGCACCGGCUAACUACGUG